ensembl:snRNA U6 U6 spliceosomal RNA
GUGCUUGCUUCGACAGCACAUAGUAUACUAAAAUCGGAACGAUAUAGAGAUUACCAUGGCCCCUGCACAAGAAUGACAAGCAAAUUCGUGAAGCGUUCCAUAUUUAA